rnacentral:rRNA from 1 species
GAUGAACGCUGGCGGCGUGCUUAACACAUGCAAGUCGAACGGUGAACGAGGGAGCUUGCUCCCUCCGGAUCAGUGGCGAACGGGUGAGUAACACGUGAGCAAUCUGCCCUGGACUCUGGGAUAAGCGUUGGAAACGACGUCUAAUACCGGAUACGAGGCGUGGGGGCAUCCCCAACGCCUGGAAAGAACUUCGGUCCAGGAUGAGCUCGCGGCCUAUCAGCUUGUUGGUGAGGUAACGGCUCACCAAGGCGACGACGGGUAGCCGGCCUGAGAGGGUGACCGGCCACACUGGGACUGAGAUACGGCCCAGACUCCUACGGGAGGCAGCAGUGGGGGAUAUUGCACAAUGGGCGCAAGCCUGAUGCAGCGACGCCGCGUGAGGGAUGACGGCUUUCGGGUUGUAAACCUCUUUUACUAUUGAACAAGGCGCCAUAUUGGUGGUGUUGAGGGUACCUUGAGAAUAAGCACCGGCUAACUACGUGCCAGCCGCCGCAGUAAAAC